AUUGAACGCUGGCGGCAUGCCUUACACAUGCAAGUCGAACGGCAGCACGGGAGCUUGCUCCUGGUGGCGAGUGGCGAACGGGUGAGUAAUACAUCGGAACGUACCCAGGAGUGGGGGAUAACGUAGCGAAAGUUACGCUAAUACCGCAUAUUCUGUGAGCAGGAAAUCGGGGGAUCGCAAGACCUCGCGCUCUUGGAUCGGCCGAUGUCGGAUAAGCUAGUGGGUGCGGUAAAGCUCACCAAGGCGACGAUCCGUAGCAGGUCUGAGAGGAUGAUCUGCCACACUGGGACUGAGACACGGCCCAGACUCCUACGGGAGGCAGCAGUGGGGAAUUUUGGACAAUGGGGGCAACCCUGAUCCAGCCAUGCCGCGUGAGUGAAGAAGGCCUUCGGGUUGUAAAGCUCUUUCGGCGGGGAAGAAAUGGCAACGGCUAAUAUCCGUUGUUGAUGACGGUACCCGCAUAAGAAGCACCGGCUAACUACGUGCCAGCCGCCGCCGUAA
rnacentral:rRNA from 1 species